GUAACGGGGUGUUAGGGCACGACACCGGAGAGGGAGCCUGAGAAACGGCUACCACAUCCAAGGAUGGCAGCAGGCGCGCAAAUUACCCAAUCCCGACACGGGGAGGUAGUGACAAUAAAUAACAAUACGGGAUUCUAUAGGAUUUCGUAAUUGGAAUGAGUACAAUUUAAAUCUCCUAACGAGGAACAAUUGGAGGGCAAGUCUGGUGCCAGCAGCCGCGGUAAUUCCAGCUCCAAUAGCGUAUAUUAAAGUUGUUGCAGUUAAAAAGCUCGUAGUUGAAUUUCAGGCCUGGCUGGACGGUCCGCCCUUCGGGUGAGUACUGUCUGUGGUCGGGUCCUACCUUCUGGCGAAGCGUCAUGGCCUUAACCGGCCGUGGCGGGGAACCAGGACUUUUACUGUGAAAAAAUUAGAGUGUUCAAAGCAGGCAAUCGCUUGGAUACAUUAGCAUGGAAUAAUGGAAUAGGGCAAUGGUUCUAUUUGUUGGUUUCUAGGACCGUUGUAAUGAUUAAUAGGGAUAGUUGGGGGCAUUAGUAUUCAAUUGUCAGAGGUGAAAUUCUUGGAUUUAUUGAAGACUAACUACUGCGAAAGCAUUUGCCAAGGAUGUUUUCAUUAAUCAAGAACGAAAGUUAGGGGAUGGAAGACGAUCAGAUACC
rnacentral:rRNA from 1 species